rnacentral:lncRNA from 1 species
UAUUCCAUCUUUCAUCUCUGUUUAUUUGUUUCAGUUAUCCUCCACAUCUGAAAAAUGGUCCCUCCUUAUGUCCGCCUUGGAGAAUGCUUGACUUCUUUCAAAAUUAAAAUCACUUAACUCAGUAUCUAACACAUAAUAGUAGAAUACCAGUAAAUCUUUGAACAUAUUCGGCCACAACUCUCUACUUGAUGACAUUUUGCUUAACAUGUUUUCUCUGGAGACAAAAGUAUUUGUUAAUAUAGUUAGACUGCGAGUAAUAAUAUGGUCAAAUAAAAAAGGAUGAGAGACUAAAACCAUUUUCAAAGACUGGUUUUCAAGUUAUUUUCCUCCAGCAACUGAAAAAUACUGCAAGGAUAACAUCCCAUUUAGAUGAUGCCCCAGGUCAGUUGGCCAUCUAUAUCUGUUUCAUUGUGUGAGAAUGUGAGCUAGCAAAUUCACUGAGAUAUAGGUAAAGAUUUCUUCAUCUAACAUGAUAUGUGUGAUAACUUAAGGAAAGACUGUUCAUUCUG